GUUUCACUGGGGACCCAGCGCAAAAGGAUGGGCCUUGUGGAGAUUGGAUUGCUUUAAAGCUCUUUCUUCCUCCCAGGAUCCACUUUUCCACUCCACGCUCUCCCACUAUUCACCCAGCACUAUCCUGUGGGAGGGAGUCGAAGUUGGAGCAUUCUUGCUCACUACGGGUGUCCCUGUGCCCAUUUUAUGUGUGGAAACUGGAAACUCUGAGGAGUUAGCCUCUCCAUAUUUCCAGAAUUAACAAGCCAUGGAGAUGAGGUUCAAACAGAGAGGUUAUAUAAUGUUUGAUAUUUGGAUUUCUCAUCUUAUGGAAGACUGCGGUUAGCUCUGGGUUCACAGAAAGAGUGUGGCCCGGCUGCAUACAUUGUGUACUUCUUUUGCAUCUGUUAUGCUGAAAUACGAAGAGACUGGCAGCCAGUUCCAGACUGUGUCAUUCUAUCCCAUGCCUGUCUCCGUUUUCACCAUGUACCUUCUGCUUGGAACAUCAUUCUUCUGGUGACAUGUCUACACAGCCAGCUCAUCCUCCAGGACUACUUAAACAUUACUUUCGUGUUAAAAUCUUUCCUAGGACCCUCUUCCUCGUUGACGUUAAUGUUGAUCAGUCUCUCCUCACUGAAUCUUUUACAUAAGUUUGUUAAUUUAUUUUGCAUUGAAGAAAUUGAAGACCGGAGAGGUUAGCUAACAAGCUCAGGACACUCUAGCAAGUAGUGAAACUAGUAUUUCAAGCCACAUCUGCCUAAUCCCAAAGAUUAUGGUAUUUCCACUCUCUUGUGAAGGACCUCAUAUGCCAAUGUAGGCAGGUAGGGAUAAAGUGAAAAUGAGAGAAAUAAUGAUUUUUCUUUUCCAUUUAUGAAAGUAGGGCAUGUUGAUCAAAAAAUGUCUGGAAAUAUAGAAAAGUUUAAAGAAGAAAAGAAAAAUGUAUAUUUCCACCGACUCUUUAUACUCUUCACUAUUCUAAUUUUAUAUAGUUUUCUUUUAAUAUGUAUAAUGACUACGAUUUUGUUUCCUGAUUUUCUAGCCUAAUAUAUGAUAAAAAUUUGCAUGCUAUAAAAUAUUCUAUAUAAAGUGAUUUUCAGUGGCUGAAUAAUCAUAAGAUGUGAUCAAAGAGAUAUAGCAUAAUUAAAUAAUUUCUGAACACUAUGAUUAUCUUCAAUUUUUCCCACGUAAGUGAUGUUACAAUGAAUAUAUACAUAUAUCAUACUAUUUUUGAUUUUCUUAAGAUAUAUUCUUAAAAUUAGAAUUAAUGAGUCAGAAGCUAUGAACGUUUUUAUGGCUCCUGAUAGAAACCAAUAAAAUUUACACUUUAGCAAAUACAUGGAUAGCACAGAGCCCAGAACAUUGUAAGCACUCAAGAAAUGAUACUUAUAUUUUCAAAUUGUUUUCCAGAAAGGUAGCAGUCGUUUCCACUUCCAACCUUGUUAUAUGAACACUCAUUUCACAAUAAACUAGCAGUACUGACUACUUAAAUGUUAAUGAAUGCUUAAAAUGUUUUGUUUAGUUGAUAGGUGAAAAUGCUCCCACUGCUAUUUUACUUUGGAUAAAUCAUAUAGGCCAGAAAUAUCAAACCUUCUCAAUUGUUUUUGAUGGUUUCCUUUCCAAUGACCAUUAUUCAUUCCCAAAUAAAGGAGAAAAUGAUGUAUGAAAUUUCCCAUUCCAAUCCUAUAAUUUCCUUUUGAAAUAUUUAACUUCUCUGCUUGCAGAUGUAUUCCUAACUGGGAUAUUUUGAAAUUCAUUCCUGGAUGUUUUUAGUAAAAUUUUCAGUAACUUGAAACAUCUGUAUACAUUUAAUCUUCUGUGUUAAUUUCAAGACAAAAAUAGUGGGACUCAUUUUCUUAUUAUUUUUGAAUGAUAUACAUAUAUUCAAAAGUUGUUGUGAUAGCCUGCUAAUAACAGAAGAUAAACCAGAACCAUCCUGUUUAAAAUUAUACUCUGAAAUUAACUCAGGAAUCUUAAUUUCAAUUUGCCUUGGUUAAAUCGGAGAAAUCAUCAAUAUUCAGCAGUUAAUUAUAAAUAGCCUCAUGGUCUUUGAUUACCAAUUUAUUAUUUGAAUUUGCAUAUGGUUAAGGUGUUUAGAUUUAGUUAUUACUCUUUUCUUAUUUUUCAAAGCACAUUUUCCUCUCUAGAGUUUAGGAGUUGUUAUAAUUGAUGUUUAUAAGAUUUCUCUUGACCAAGACAGCAUUUGUUUAAAAUAAAGGUGAAAUAGCUAUAGUCUGAUUGCUUUUCUCACCUGCAGAUGUCAAUCUACCUCAGAUCGAAUAAUUCCAUGGCCAGUAUAUGGCCAAAUUUACCCUCAAUAAAUAACUACGUUCUAAGGCUUUAUUUAUAUCACUUAGUU
ensembl:lncRNA